AUGCAGGGAUGCAGGGGGCUGUUUUUGGGAGCUUCGUCACUAACCUUGAGGGGCCUUCGUGAUCCUCAAGUGCUUGAAACAUUGGCUAUCCAGGAGGCGUUAGCUCUCUCAGAAGAUCUCUAUCUCAACCAAGUUUUGGUGGCCUCGGAUUGCAAGGUGGCGAUUGGUGCGAUCAGGGAAGGAAGUCAAGCAAAUUUUGGCGCCAUCGUCCAGGAGAUCAAGGCUAGAGCAGCUAGCUUCAUUUCAUGUUCUUUUAGUCAUGAGUAUAGGACCUCCAAUAUGGAGGCCCAUAAUCUCGCAAAGUAUGCUUUAUCUUUAGGUUUUGGCCGUCACACUUGGCUAGGCCAGACCGACGACCUUGUUUUUGUACCCUUGAACAUUAAUCAGUAA
rnacentral:rRNA from 1 species